CCCUUUGUUGCUCAAGCCUUGCAUUCUCUCAGUCUAGCCGAAGUCUAGCCAGAAAGAAAAGGAACGUUUCUUCCCGGUAGCCCUUCCUCCAGGCCCAGGAUUCCUUCAUCAGGCUUUGACCAUUUGGAUCAGGUCCUCACCCCCGCACUGAGGCGGGGCAUGCAGGGCACUGAUUCACCCAGCCUGGGUCACGUGCUUCUGGCCUGGCAACACCUGGAUUGAGUGGGAAGGACCUGGUUCCUCCUAAGGCAUCAAGGUGCUGCUUUAAACAGAAGGGAGGAUGCAUGAUGGUACAGUAAUCACAGUAAUAGAUGCCCACUGCCCUGAGCGGGUGCAGUAAGCACAGUAAUAGAUGCCCAUUGCCAUGAAGGGUGAACUGAGCACAGUAAUAGAUGCCCACUGCCCUGAGUGGGUGAAGUAAGCACAGUAAUAGAUGCCCACUGCCCUGAGCUGGUGCAGGAAGCACAGUAAUAGAUGCCCAUUGCCAUGAAGGGGUGCAGUAAGCACAAUAAUAGAUGCCCACUGCCCUGAGCGGGUGAAGAAAGCACAGUAACAGACACCCACGGCCCUGAGCAGGUGAAGUAAGCACAGUAAUAGACACCCACUGUGGUGAGCGGAUGAAGCAAGCACAGUAAUAGACGCCCACUGCCCUGAGAGGGUGCAGUAAGCACAGUAAUAGACACCCCCUGUCCUGAGCUGGUGAAGUAAGCACAGUAAUAGACGCCGACUGCCAUUAACGGGUGAAGUGAACACAGUAGUAGACACCCACUGCACUGAGCGGGUGCAGGAAGCACACUAAUAUAAACCCACUGUCCUGAAUGGGUGCAUUAAGCCAGUAAUAGAUGCACACUGCCCUGAGCGGGUGAAGUAAGCCCAGUAAUAGAUCAACACUGCCCUGAGUGGGUGAAGUAAGCACAGUAAUAGAUGCACACUGCCCUGAGCGGAUGAAGCAAGCACAGUAAUAGAUGCCCACUGUCCUGAGCGGAUGAAGCAAGCACAGUAAUGGAUGCCCACUGUCCUGAGCCGAUGAAGCAAGCACAGUAAUAGCCGCCCACUGCCAUGAGAGGGUGCAGUAAGCACAGUAAUAGACACCCCCUGUCCUGAGCUGGUGAAGUAAGCACAGUAAUAGAUGCCGACUGCCAUUAACGGGUGAAGUAAACACAGUAGUAGACACCCACUGCACUGAGCGGGUGCAGGAAGCACACUAAUAUAUACCCACUGUCCUGAAUGGGUGCAUUAAGCCAGUAAUAGAAGCACACUGCCCUGAGCGGGUGACGUAAGCCCAGUAAUAGAUGCACACUGCCCUGAGUGGGUGAAGUAAGCCCAGUAAUAGAUGCACACUGCCCUGAGGGGGUGAAGUAAGCCCAGUAAUAGAUGCACACUGCCCUGAGCGGGUGAAGUAAGCACAGUAAUAGAUGCCCACUGCCCUGAGCGGGUGAAGUAAGCCCAGUAAUAGAUGCACACUGCCCUGAGCGGGUGAAGUAAGCACAGUAAUAGAUGCCCACUGUCCUGAGCGGAUGAAGCAAGCACAGUAAUAGCCGCCCACUGCCAUGAGAGGCUGCAGUAAGCAUAGUAAUAGCCACCCACUGCCAUGAGAGGGUGCAGUAAGCACAGUAAUAGACACCCCCUGUCCUGAGCUGGUGAAGUAAGCACAGUAAUAGAUGCCCACUGUCCUGAGCCGAUGAAGCAAGCACAGUAAUAGCCGCCCACUGCC
rnacentral:lncRNA from 1 species